GACGAACGCUGGCGGCGUGCUUAACACAUGCAAGUCGAACGGUAAGGCCCUUCGGGGUACACGAGUGGCGAACGGGUGAGUAACACGUGAGUAAUGUGCCCUUGACUCUGGGAUAACAGCCGGAAACGGUUGCUAAUACCGGAAAUACACAUGUGCCUGCAUGGGUGUGUGUGGAAAGCUUUUGCGGUCUUGGAUCAACUCGCGGCCUAUCAGCUUGUUGGUGGGGUAAUGGCCUACCAAGGCUUCGACGGGUAGCCGGCCUGAGAGGGUGACCGGCCACACUGGGACUGAGAUACGGCCCAGACUCCUACGGGAGGCAGCAGUGGGGAAUAUUGCACAAUGGGCGGAAGCCUGAUGCAGCAACGCCGCGUGCGGGAUGACGGCCUUCGGGUUGUAAACCGCUUUCAGUAGGGACGAAGCGCAAGUGACGGUACCUACAGAAGAAGCACCGGCCAACUACGUG
rnacentral:rRNA from 1 species